UACAGAGGUGGCGAGCGUUGUUCGGAUUUACUGGGCGUAAAGGGUACGUAGGUGGUAUCGUAUGUCGGGAGUGAAAGCCCAUGGCUCAACCAUGGAAUUGCUUCCGAAACUGCGGAACUAGAGUACAGGAGGGGAGAGCGGAAUUCUUGGUGUAGCGGUGAAAUGCGUUGAUAUCAAGAAGAACACCGGUGGCGAAGGCGGCUCUCUGGAAUGUUACUGACGCUGAGGUACGAAAGCUGGGGGAGCAAACAGGAUUAGAUACCCCUGUA
rnacentral:rRNA from 1 species